rnacentral:rRNA from 1 species
UCAGACGAUGCGUCAUGCAUAUCAAUAAGCGGAGGAAAAGAAACUAACAAGGAUUCCCCUAGUAACGGCGAGUGAAGCGGGAAGAGCUCAAAUUUGAAAUCUUAAAGGGUUUCCCUUUACGAAUUGUAGUUUAAAGAAGUGUUUUCUGUUGAGGUUUUGGUAAAAGUUCUUUGGAAUAGGACAUCAUAGAGGGUGAGAAUCCCGUAUUUGACCUUUACUUUCAACUUUGUGAUACACUUUCAAAGAGUCGGAUUGUUUGGGAAUGCAGUCCAAAAUGGGUGGUAAAUUUCAUCUAAAGCUAAAUAUUGGCGAGAGACCGAUAGCGAACAAGUACCGUGAGGGAAAGAUGAAAAGAACUUUGAAAAGAGAGUUAAACAGUACGUGAAAUUGUCAAAAGGGAAGCGUUUGACACCAGUGUUGUUUUUCUGAAAAUCAAUUAAAGAACUGUUUAUGCUAAGUUGUUUAGACUUUAUCAGCUAUCUGUUUAGUUUUGAGCUUUUCUUUAAUGCACUUUUCCAGUUAACAAGUCCAACAUCAAUUUCUUUUGCUGUAAAAAAGCUUGAGGAAGGUGGCUUGAGAUUCGUCUUAAGUGUUUAUAGCCUCUUGCCUAUGCAGUCGGAGAGAUUGAGGUCUGCAGCGUAGAUCCUUCGGGGCUAAAUGCAUUUGUGCUAAGUUAUAGCAUUUUAUAGACAACUUGUUGACUAUGAUUUGUCUUGUAGCUUACUCGCUUAUGUUAUUUUACCUACGCUUAGGAUGUUGACACACGCGCGUGCUCG